AACUUUCACCUCACUUCCUUCACAAAUCAAACCCCAAAAACCAUAUAUUUGGAAUCCUUGAGACCUGACGAACUCAAUGGUACCCUUGCAUGCACCAUCUGAGCACCGUGGGUUUUUCUGUCAUUGAAGCCGAGAGCUUCAAAGCUCUAAAACUCCAACCCAGGGGCAAUCAUCGCAACGUUUCUGUCUUCGCUAGUGGCGCAGCUUUUGACGGAGUAUUUGACUUAGGAUGAAGGCACAUAACCCCGGCAUCAAGGUACUUCCGCAGCGGCAUCUUCGAGUCCUCUCGGGGUAGGACCCACUCAUUUGUUCAUUCAAUCUUAUCUUAGUUCUUGUUAGUGACUAGGUUUAGUUAUAUGCUCUGAACACGUUCCUAAAUUGUUAAUUCAUUGUUUUUAAAUUCA